rnacentral:lncRNA from 1 species
GAUAGUAGAUCAAAAGAACAAGGAUAACUUGCUGCGAACAGCGGGUAACUAGCUUUAUACCGGACAAAGGUUGGUUGCGAUCAAGCGACGGGGAGAGAGGUACCGAAACUGAGAAGACUUCGACUCAAUCACUGAACAGCCACAGAACCAUAAUCCGGAACUAAUCCACACAAUACGGCGCAGCCGAAUGGAAGCCGUAGAACACAAAGUAGGGGAACUCAGAGGAUCCACUUCACAAGUCCAAGAAGAACAAGGAAGAACAA